GUGCUUGUUUUGACAGCAUAUAUACUAAAAUUGAUACAGAGAAGAUUAGCAUGGUCCCUGCACAAGGAUGACACCCAAAGCACCCUUGGGAUACUCAAUAAAUAU